rnacentral:rRNA from 1 species
UACGUAGGGUGCAAGCGUUGUCCGGAAUUAUUGGGCGUAAAAGAGCUCGUAGGCGGUUCGUCGCGUCGGCUGUGAAAUCCCGAGGCUCAACCUCGGGUCUGCAGUCGAUACGGGGCGGACUGGAGUCCGGUAGGGGAGCAUGGAAUUCCUGGUGUAGCGGUGAAGUGCGCAGAUAUCAGGAGGAACACCAGCGGCGAAGGCGGUGCUCUGGGCCGGAACUGACACUGAGGAGCGAAAGCGUGGGUAGCAAACAGG